rnacentral:rRNA from 1 species
UACGUAGGGGUCUAGCGUUGUCCGGAAUUAUUGGGCGUAAAGAGCUCGUAGGCGGUUCGGCAAGUCGGAUGUGAAAUCUCCACGCUUAACGUGGAGGGGCCAUUCGAAACUGCCGUGACUCGAGUCCGGUAGGGGCGUGCGGAACUUCCGGUGGAGCGGUGAAAUGCGUAGAUAUCGGAAGGAACACCGGUGGCGAAAGCGGCGCGCUGGACCUCUUCUGACGCUGAGGCGCGAAAGCCAGGGGAGCAAACGGG